rnacentral:lncRNA from 1 species
GGGGGCGGGACCAGGGCCGUGGUCUUCCGGCGUGCCCAGCAUGUAGACCUGCUCAAUGCCAGGGUCUUAGCGCGGAUGAACAUCGCCUAGUCUACGGAGGCUCUUUGCUUUCCGCACCGCGCUACGACGAGUUAGCCAGUACCUCCUUACAGUGGCUGCCUGGCUCUGCUAGACAAGCUGACUGUGCAUUGCUCAGUUGUCUGAUGACCCAUGGCCUUUGAUCAUAUGCCUAAGAACUGGAGUCUUGCACCUCUGGAUGAAGUCUUUUGAUUAUGAGAACAAAAAACAAGUAAUGAGUGAAUUGCCUCCAAAUAUUAGUUUCUACUUUUUAAAAAUUCUGAUGGGGUGGAGGGAGCAAGUGCCCCUGUGCACCUGUGGACAUCAGCCCCUGUGCACCUGUGGACAUCAGCCCCUGUGCACCUGUGGACAUCAGCCCCUGUGCACCUGUGCACAUCAGCCCCUGUGCACCUGUGCACAUCAGCCCCUGUGCACCUGUGGACAUCAGCCCCUGUGUACCUUAGACAUCAUCAGCCCCAGUGGACCUGUGGACAUCAGCCCCUGUGUACCUGUGGACAUCAGAUAACCACUGGCAGCAGCCAGUUCUCCCCUUCUGCUAUGUGGUUCCCAAGGACAGAACUCAAGUCAUCAAGCUUGGUGGGAAAAUGCCUUUACCAGUGAGCCAUCUACCAACCCAUAAAUGUUGGUUUUGGCGGAUUUUUUUCCUAGAUAAGUUUCCUCACAGCUUUUGCCUGGUUAGAGGGCUAUAAAUAGAAGCAGGAGUGGAUUCUAGGUAAGGAUAUAUUUUCCCAACUCCGAGCUGAGAUUCUUAUUUUAUUAUUUAUUGAUUGAUUGAUUGAUUUUGUUUUUUGAGACAGGGUAUCUCUGUGCAGCCCUGGAUGUCCUGGAACUCACUUUGUAGACCAGUUCAUUUCGAACUCAGAAAUCCGCCUGCCUCUGCCUCCCAAGUGCUGGGAUUAGAGGCAUGUGCCACCACUGCCUGGCUUAUUUUUUAUUUUAGAGUUUCUUUCUUUCUUUCUUUUUUUCUUGGAUAUUUUCUUUAUUUACAUUUCAAGUGUUUCCCCUUUGGAAACCCCUUACCCUAUUCCCCCCUCCCCAUGUCACUAUGAGGGUGCUUCCCCCCCACUCCUAUCCUCCCACCCUGGCAUUCCCCUACACUGGGGCAUUGAACACCCUCAUGCCCAAGGCCUCUCCUCCCACUGAUGUCCAACAAGGCCAUUUUCUGCCACAUAUGUGACCAGCGCCAUGGGUCAGUCACUCGGGUAUUCUUUGAUUGGUGGUCCAAUCCCUGGGAGCUCCCGGGGGUCUGACCUGUUGACACUGUUGCUCCCUCCAUGGGGCUGCAAACUCCCUCAACUCCUUCAGUCCCUUCUCCAAUUCCUCCAUCGGGGACCCCCAAGCUCAGUCCAAUGGUUGACUUCGAGCUUCCUCCUCUGUAUUUGUCAGGCUCUGGCAGAGCCUCUCAGGAGACAGCCAUAUCAGGCUUCCAUUAGCAAGCACUUCCCAGCAUCCACAAUAACAUCUGGGUUUGGUGGCUGUAUAUGGGAUGGAUGCCCAGGGGGAGCAGUCUCUGAAUGGCCUUUCCUUCAGUCUCUGCUCCCCACUUUGUCUCCAGAUUUCCUCCUGUGAGUAUUUUGUUCACCUUUCUAAAAAGCACCGAAGCAUCUACGUUUUGGUCUUCCUUCUUCUUAGGCUUCAUGUGGUCUGUGAAUUUAAUCUUGGGUAUUCUGAACUUUUGGGCUAAUAUCCACUUAUCAGUGAGUACAUACCAUGUUUGUUCCUUUGUGACUGAGUCACCUCACUCAGGAAGAUAUUCUCAAGUUUUUGCCUGAGAAUUUCAUGAAGUCAUUGUUUUUAAUAGCUGAGUAGUACUCCAUUGUGUAAAUGUACCACAUUUUCUGUAUCCAUUCCUCUGUUGAGGGACAUCUGGGUUCUUUCCAGCUUCUGGCUAUUAUAGAUAUGGCUGCUAUAAACAUAGUGGAGAACGUUUCCUUAUUACAUGUAUAUGCCCAGGAGUGGUAUAGCUGGGUCCUCAGGUAAUACUAUGCCCAAUUUUCUGAGGAACUGCCAGACUAAUUGCCAGAGUGGUUGUACCAGCUUGCAAUCCCACCAACAAUGGAGGAGUGUUCCUCUUUCUCCACAUCCUUGCCAGCAUCUGCUGUCACCUGAGUUUUUCAUCUUACCCAUUCUGACUGGUGUGAGGUGGAAUCUCAGGGUCCUUUUGAUUUGCAUUUCCCUGAUGAAUAAGGAUAUUGAACAUUUCUUUAGGUGUUUCUGAGCCCUUCAAGUUUCCUCAGUUGAGAAUUCUCUGUUUAGCUCUGUUCCCCAUUUUGUAAUAAAGUUAUUUGGUUCUCUGG